AUCUGCGGCAAAGGGUUGGAGUAGAGCAGAGCUCGGCUCUCGGCAGCUAGCAGACUUGAGCCCUCCCGACAGAAACCGAGCCCAAACCUGCUGACGCGCGGUGCUGUCGCUCCUGGGCAUGACAUCACCCAAAACACCCUGAAGUCAAUGGAAGAAAUAUCAGUUCAGAGGGAUUGCAUCAAGCAACCCAUAGAGAAUGUGCAGGAUCUACACACUCACCCUGGAGACCACAGUAUAUGGGAGCUCAGCCUGGACUACAGCCUGCCCCAAACACCACAGUGAUGUCUUCAACCACAGUGAUCAACGACAAGGCUCAAGGCAUCUUGUUAGCAGCCAGGCUGUGUCUCAGGCUGAAAGGCAGGCAGCACAGAGUAAAUCACAACCUCUGUAGAAAACUCCUGGGAUAAUGCAACCAAGCUUUGAAGCUUUCACCCAACAAGCUUUGACCGCUUUGGGAAGGACUGCUUUUUGCCCUCUACCCUUCCACCUCCCUCAGCAGAAGGCUGAACCUACGCCAGGUCUGUGGCAUCAGGGCAGCAAGCCAUCCCACUGCAGCCACCCCAUGACGGCCCAAUGAGUCGGUAGGCAUUGGAGGCCAAGAGGAAACCCAGCACCUUUGCACAUUGGAGCCGUUUACAAUGACUUUUGUUGCUGAUGGCGCAUGUUUCGUUGUACUUGUUAAAUCUUGUUAAACAGGAAACAGGUUUCGAGGCGAGAGGGUCCCUUAGAGUUCAAGCUCCUGCUUUCAAAUGUUCUUACAAGAUGCACAAUUGGCACCGACUUACAGGAAAUGUUUAAUUGGAGUCGGAAGGCGCUGGCUCCACCGACCUUGUAUUACAUUCCUCUGCGUGCUCCUUUCACAAUGAUUUUCACCUAUAGCUUAAAUCAGUGAUUUAUUUAUAUCAGCCAAUGGUGAGUUCAGCAACGUGGCUGGGGGGGGGACGGGACGAGCGGACCACAGAGAUGCAGCAAGUGAAAGGGAGGAGCAAGCAGCAAGGAGCAGUCCUACCAAGCAGAAGGGGCUGCCACAAACCUAAGAGUGACAUAUUUAUGAGUCCAGUAUCGGUUGCCUGCACUGAUAAGCCACGGUCAUUAAAGGAAGGAAAAGUCACCUUUGUGUAUAUAAAAUAUACAAGAUUCAUAGUCUGAAAAGACUCAACAGGAAAGCAUUAGGUAAAUAAAGGAUAUCCCAUAAAGCAUAAUGUGAAAAUUAAAUUACCUCAUAAGGGAAGAAAACUGUCUGUCCCAGCAGUGAAAGUGAGGAAAAAUUAAAUUCCUCUAUUCCAUCCCAAAGCUGACUUGGCUUUGGGGUUUUGGGUGGAUCUAGAUACAUUGUUACUGAUGUCUAUUAAAAACAAGCACUAGAGCCCAUUACAUAGGAUUGGAAAUGCUGCAGCUUCCCACAAAUUUUCACUAUAUGCUCACAAGGUGGUAAGAAGCGCCCUAUGCAUCGCUGCUUACGGUAGCCAAGACACAGAAGUGUCAUUUCAGGGGGAGCCGGACUGACAACAUUAUUUCCAGUUUUCAGUUCUCAUGAGAUGUUCUUUUAAAUUUAUUUGGGGAGCUGUACUUGUGAAACACUUGGAAAAGUUUUCUUCUGUCUUCUCUGAACUUUUUGGAUGGGUGAAAUGUAUCCAGGAUCCACCUAUUUUUGCUUUAAUUUGUCAGCCUGCCUCCAAAGCCAAGCAAAUGUUGAAAUAUCAGGAAGAGGCAAAAGGAGGGAAAACUGAGUUCACUUGGUGAACUGUCUAGUAAAAGAGAUAAUGGAAAAGAAAGAGAAAGAGAAGGUAAUCUGCUAUUUGAAAUCUUUAUAAUUAAAAAAGAAAAUUAUUUAAACUUUAAAAAAAUAUGGAAUGAACAAUUUCACAAGUAAGUGACCUGCUAGGGGUUGUUCCUGUGGAAGACAUGCACAGCCCCUGCCUUGCACACAGGUGGCUAACCUAUGAGCAAUGUGUAGCUUUGCAGCCUCAGCAGCAAAUCCCUGCACCUACAGCCCUCAGAUCCUCCAAAGGUGUUAACUGAUGCCCAGGGUUUAGACACACUGUUUUUGGUUGGGAAGGAGCUGAUCCAAUCUGAACCAAGCCAAUCUUAUUUUUUAUUGCAAAUGUUGAUCCUACAGUGAUAAGGUAGAUCUCAAUAGCAGCUUGUAGCCACUACUAAAGGAGGAUUUUCCUUUUCCUCAGCAGAAUUCAAGGAUGAAUACUCUAUUUUAAAAUGUGGCUAUCUACUUUGGUAUUCUCCCUGUAUGCAAAAAUCCCGUGAGAAGCCAAUUUCCACAACAUGCUGCAGGAUUUUGGAAGGAUAACAAGCAAAUAAUUUAGUACCUAUUCCCUGGAUCUCUGCUCCCAGGAACAAGUGCCACAGUUGCUGAUACAGCUGAAAACCACAUUUGACUUUUCUGGUGCAUCACACAAGCAAAUCAAGUUGCUUUAGGUGCCCAGGAAGGACAGAGGCACUUAUUCAGCAUAGCCUGCUUUUUGCCCUGGAGUUUGCAUCAACAUCUCUUCCCACUGACUCUUCUGCUCCAGAUUUUUACAAAUCCAGGUCAUGUUGCUACUACAUCUCAUUCUAUCUGAAGCCCUUUGCUUCUCAGGAGCUGACAUUUUCCUCUCCAGAACAUCUCCAGCCCUUCAGGCCUCUGCAUUAGACAAAUGAACUGAGCAUUAAUAUGAAUGACUGAUAAGCAGCAAAAGGGAAGAAAGCCAGCAAGCAGUCGAGAAACCUAUUCUGGAACAAACUGAACUGAAUCAAGGAGAGUGAAAAUUAGUUAUCUUUGCAGACCAGUAAUGUAGUGGCAUCACUUUUGCACACUAACACAAUCAUUAAAGGGUCACCAUAAACAGCUCUUCUCCUAUUUUUUAAAUGUCCACGUGGUGUUAAACUUAGAAUUUGCUUUUUCAAGUUGAAACAAACACAGAGCCUUCCAGAGCUGACUUCUUCUUUCAAGUGCAGAAGAGAGGAAGUCUGUUGUUUUUAUCACAUAUCUUCAAAUUGAAAGGUACCUCUAAGCGAGGUAAUCAGUAGCACAGCCAGGUUUACACCUAGGAAACUAUGACUAAAGAAAUAGUAAAACACUGAUUUGCCAUCCACAGAAGCGCAGUUUAGUCCAAUGCUGUCGUCUUUAUUGACCACCCUUGGGGACAUUUCUUUAUUUGUAAAGGGUUCCCUUUCAAAAAUCUACAUGUGAUCUCCAGUUGGAUAAAUAAGGUGGGAUCCAGAAGCGAGAAAUGGGAGAUCAGUUUUGUGAGAAGGCUGCUAGAUGAAGCAGCUUUGCUUCAUUUUAUUUGGGACUUUUCUUCUAUUCACUCUUUUGCCCUUUGCUGGUGUCUCAGCUCCCUCUCUAAUAAAUAACUAGUCCACAUCACUAAACUGCUGCACAUAACUCAGAGCAAUUUGUUACUGUUGGCAAUGUCUGUGCAGCGGGGGCCCAGGAAAAGGCCAGCAUGGAAGCAGUAAUACCUCCCACUCUUCAGGAGCAUGAUUUCUGCCUGAUUAGAGAAGGGGUCAUUGGUAGGACAAUGUAGAGAAGGUCGUACACAAUUGCCUCCACACAAGUUGUGUGUGCUGCAUGAUCCUUGUGUGAGCUACUUUACCCAGGAGUAUCUGUCAUGAGAAAUCGGUCCUGUGAUGUCAACACUGUAGAUGUGGCAGGAUGUUAAAAAGUUAAUACAUAUUAAUAAUCACCAGAAUGCAAUGAAAGUGUCUGAGCAUUUUAUACAAUCCUGAGCCCAGAGGAUAGUUUAAAACACAGAAAUUCCUUUAGAAACGAUGAUAUAAUAAAUCCACUAGGCCUAAAGUCCUUCCAAAGGUAAGACUAUAAGCACAGUCUCUAAAUACUUGGUAAAGCUGUCACGUUAAGAGUCGUGUAUUGUUUUAAAAAGAAAUGAAAAAAGGGCUACACUUUUGGAUUUUUUUUUUCUGGGUCUCCAUCUGCCUGACGUUCAUGAACACAGAGAGGUGUAGAGGGGACAUCUCAUAGCACGGUUAUUUUUUAAGGUAUACACCACAAAAGAAUUUUCUGGGAGCCAGGCUGCAGGAAAGGAGUUUCAGUGUCCUGCCUGAAAUGGGAGAGCUCAGCUGUCCUCUGACUGCAAAAAGGUCUGAGGGUUAGCUAAGGGCAUCUGUCACUAGACAGA